CAAUAGCGUAUAUUAAAGUUGUUGCAGUUAAAAAGCUCGUAGUUGGAUUUCUGGCGGUGUGACUCCGGCCGGCAUGACGUCGGGUCCAGAGCGCGCCACCAUCCUUCUGUCAACCUUCGCGGGAUUCGCUUCCCGCGUUGUGGGCUCAGAUAUUUUACCUUGAGAAAAUUAGAGUGUUUCAGGCAGGCUUUCGCCGGAAUACAUUAGCAUGGAAUAAUAAUCUAGGACUUCGGUUCUAUUUUGUUGGUUUCUUAGAUCUGAAGUAAUGAUUGAUAGGGAUAGUUGGGGGUGGCUAGUAUUAAGGGGCCGAGAGGUGAAAUUACUUGGAUUCUCUUAAGACUAACUUAUGCGAAAGACAUUCACCAAGGAUGUCUUCUUUAAUCAAGAACGAAAGUUGGGGGAUCGAAGACGAUCAGAUACCAU
rnacentral:rRNA from 1 species